AGGGCGCGCAGGCGGCGCGGGUGCGCGGUGCGGCGCUGGUAUCCAGAGGACGCGGUCACCGCCUCUGGCAUUUGUCGUUCUGCGCUUCUCCGCAAGGACCCUCUGUUAGGCAGGCGCCCACCGUAAGCCUCCCGGGCCUUGUGAACCUGCAAACCCAAGUCUGAGAGACGAUCCGCCUUCAGCGCUUUCCAGCUUGGCAGAGAGGCUUUCCCGGCGGGGAUCUUUGGUUGGCGCUGGCGAUGCGCGGGGAAGAAAGGCGAGGAGCGGCGUCCAGGCUGGGUGAUGUCCCAGCACGAGUAGGCGGGAUGCGCUCGCUUGGUCCUCCGGGCGCCCGGUCCCUGCCCGCGUCGCGCGCCCACCCCUGGGGACGAGAAGGCGGCCGCCUGAGGACCCCCGCCCGCGACCUCCGCGAGUCUGGAGCGCAGAGGACAGGGUCUGGCUGCUCUUUGGCCUUGGAUGGAAAGUGGGGAAUUGGGUGGGGGGCUGCGGACCCCUUAACGUGGAUUACUUGGUGUGUAUCAGCUGGGCUCAGAAGACCCACGACCUCUUCUCCAUCCGUGGAUUGAUUUGUUCUGCUUAACAGCUGGGUCGCCAAGCUGGAGGUAUUUUUCCCUCUCCACCCUGGUCUUCUCCUGUAACGUGUGGCCGCCUUUUCCAGCACGGCCUCCUGCCUUCCUGGUGCACUUUUUGGAGAACGUGGUGGAAUCAGAGGUUUCUGGCUGACUCGGUGGGUGCUUUGAACCAGGAAAGGACAAGAAAGAGGUUGGAGUACAGUGGCAUGAUCUCAGCUCACUGCAGCCUCGACUUCCUGGGCUCAAGAAAUCCUCCUGUCUCUGCCUUCCGAGUAGCUGUGAUCACAGUUGUAUGCCAUCAUGCCCAGACCAGAUUUCGCCAUAUUGCUCAGGAUGGUCUUGAACUCCUGGGCUCAAGUGAUCCGCCUGCCUUGGCCUCCCAGAAUGCCAGGAUUACAGAUGUGAGCCACUGUGCCUGGCCUGAAGUCUAGUAAUUUUUAAAACUUUGCAUGUUAUUCUGCUCAUGAGCCAAGUUCGGGUGCCUGUGGAACAGCUAUAUUCCUCAAACUAGAUAUGCACCCCAGUCCCUGGGGAUUCUGUCAAAAGGCAGAUUCACAUUCAGCAGGUCUAGGGUGGGGGGCCUGACAUUCGGCACGUCUCACAAGCUCCCAGGCGAUGCUGAUGGUGCUGGUCCCUGGACGCCCUCUUGAGUAGUAAGGAACAAAAGGACUCUCCCCUGUUCUUUUCAGCUACGUAGCCCAGUGGUUCUCCACUUAGGCUUCACACUGGAAUCAUCCAGGGAGUUUUAAACUAUAGUGAUGCCUGGCGGUGUCUUACUCGCAGAGCUUCUGGUUUGAUUGGUCUAGGUUGCAGCCUGGGCAAGGAGAUUUAAAAACUUCUCAGAUGGGCCAGGCAUGGUGGCUCAAGCCUGUAAUCCCAGCACUUUGGGAGGCAGAGGUGGGCGGAUCACGAGGUCAGGAGAUCGAGACCAUCCUGGCUAGCACGGCGAAACCCUGUCUCUACUAAAAAUACAAAAAAUUAGCUGGGUGUGGUGGCGUGUGCCUGUGGUCCCAGCUGCUCGGGAGGCUGAGGCAGAAGAAUGGCCUGAACCCGGGAGGCGGAGCUUGCAGACAGCCGAUCGUGCCACUGCACUCCAGCCUGGGCGACAGAGCGAGACUCCGUCUCAAAAAAAAAAAAAAAAAAA
ensembl:lncRNA LINC00511 long intergenic non-protein coding RNA 511